rnacentral:tRNA from 1 species
AAUUGAUAAGAAUUACUUUGAAAGUAAAUAACAGGCAACAAUUUUGCCAUCAGUUU